GAAAGGCCAAUCAAGGCCGGUGAUAGCUGGUUCUCUCCGAAAGAUAUCUAGGUAUCGCCUCGAGGAAUUCAGUGUCGGAGGUAGAGCACUGGAUGGGCUAGGGCACUUACCGGUGUACCAAACCCAACCAAACUCCGAAUGCCGACAACUGUUAUCUCGGGAGACAGUCCUCGGGUGAUAAGGUCCGAGGGCGAGAGGGAAACAACCCAGACCAUCAGCUAAG
rnacentral:rRNA from 1 species